rnacentral:lncRNA from 1 species
GCCGGAUGGGAUGGCACAAGUCUUUAAUCCCAGCACUUGAGAGGCAGAGGCAGACAGAUAUGUGAGUUCAAGGCCAGUCUGAUCUACAUAAAAAGUUCCAGGCUAGGGAGGGCUACACAGUAAGACCUUGUCUCAAAACAAAUGAACAAACACAGUCAAUUUAUAAAGAAAACAGGUUUAUUUGGCUGAUGCGUUUAGAGAACAAAAGGCCAAACCAUGUGGUCAGGCUCCUGUGAGGCUCUUCCAGCUGCAUCAUGUCGUGGCAAAUGACAAGAACUUGAUCAUACAGUGAGACUGGAUGCCAGCAGGCAACUGGGGUCCUACAUACACUGUGCUGGUCCUUUCCAAUGACCCAAAACCUCCCUCUCUGUAGGCUUCAUCAUUUAAAGGCACCACUGCCUCUUAAUAUUGCUACAUUGGCACCAAGAUUGUGGCAUUUGGGGACCACACAGACCAUCACACACCCAGAGGAAACCUAUAGGUCGCAUCCCUGCAUGUGUUCCAUAUUUAUUGAGCCCAGCACCAUGAACACUUAGAGGCCCCAUGGGACCAUGUGCAUUAAGGCGCUGGCUCUGGAGACAGCCCGCUCAGGUGCUUGCUAGGUCUGUUCCUUCCCUUUAUCCUGUGGGCUGAGGCUCAAGCCACAUCAGUGAAAACUGAAGAGGGUGACAGUGUCUAUGUGCUGGGUGACUGUGAGUGCUCACUGCAGCAUGGCAGGUGCCGCCUGGUCCUUUGUAACUGCAGAUAGCAUGAGUCCUGGCUUCAUUGUUCCUGCUGUCCUAUGCCUGCUGCUGAGCCAGCACGCAGGUGACCGAUCUCAGAACUCAGGACCCAGUCAGACACUGCUCUGCUUGUCCAUUCUGAGACGUAGCAUGUGAACCCUGAAGGCUGAGUAAGAGGAAGGGGUGUUAGGAACAAAAGGACCUCUGAGGGUGGUUAAUGUGACCUGAAGAGAGCAAUGGAGAGACAGGGUACAAGUGGAGGUAGGGGUGGGGGUGGGGGAUGGGCAGAUUGAAGCACUCACAUCCAUGGGAUACUGAGUUCUCACCCUUCACCCUCACCCCCAGUUUCUUUGUUUUUGUUUAUUUUUUGAUAGUGAUAUAUUUCCCUGUCUUGGCUACUGAAACAUCAUUUUGUACCUGACUGAUGCUGGUUUUGAGCAGAUCACCCGGGCUACCCUGUAGGGAGUAGACUAGGAGGAGGAGGAAGAGGAAGAAGAAGGAAGAGGAGGAGGAGGAGAAGGAAGAGGAGGAGGAGGAGGAGGACUUGUCUUCCCUUGUGCAUGCGUGUGUGUGCAUGUGUGCAUUUGGUUGUCAGUUGCUAUAUAUGUGCGUGCAUGUGCAUUUGCUGUCAGUGGCUGCAUGUGCUUGCAUGUCAGUUUUCUCCAUCUUCUGUUUGAAGGCGGGUGUCUCACUUGAACCCAGAGCUUGUCAAUUCAGCUAGUCUAUCUGCCUGGUUUGCUCUGGAGAUCCUGUGUCUGCCUCCCAAGGACUCACUCAGCUAUGUCCCCAGCCCAAAGGCUAAGCAUCUGCUGUGUCUAGAAGAGGUAAGACUGGAGUUUCUGGAGACAGAAACUGUAUCUCAAAUAUUCUCCUAGACUGCAGUUCAUUGACAGUGCUGCCCAGACUCCGCACAUCAACAAACAAGCCCUGAGGAUUACUCUGAGAAUCAUGAUCCUGUUGGCUGUCUCACAGUGAUGGCUACAUUCAGGAAGCUAAGGAGGCCAGGAGCUGGGGAGAUAGCUCAGUUGGUAAGCAUGAGGACCUAGGUUCAAUCCCAGGCACAUAGGGAAAAAUAAAAAGCAACUGUGCAUGGUGGCUGAAGUGGAAGUUUCUGGAUAUGUCAUGUGAUGCAGACUCAUGUGGUGUGUUGCUGAGGCAAGACCCUUGGGAAGACAUGUGAUGUUUUGAGAGUGUGUAUAUGGGACUCAACAGACAGUGGUGACAUACUUGCAUAGCUAGCUUUACAAUGCUUCUUUGGUCUUGUGUCUUUGCUGAUCUUUGCUUUGUUAAGAAAGGAACUGCAGAGAACUUUUCCUGGUGUCCCGGCUGAUUCUGGUCAUCCCCAUUGACUCAUGUUGAUAUGGUGGAGGCCUAGCUGUUUCUGCUGGAUCAUGCCACCACUGCUAAUUCAUGUUUGGUAUCCUGACAAAUGGAGAUUGGAAUUGCCUCAAAAAACUACUUCUAAACAGGUCCACACUCCCAUGUCCUACUUACCAUCUUUUCUCCCCUACCUUUGGACAGUGGGCUGGAAGGGGGGUUGAAGCAUUCUUAAAACCCUUAUUAAAAUUAAGUUUUAUAAAACUCUAAGCCUACAGGAGGCCAACACUUGUGAUCCAAAUAGGAGGUGGAAACAGGCAGGUGGAUUCCAGGACUCUCUGGCCAGCCAGUGCAGCCCACUCAUCCGAGUUCCAGAUCAGUGAGAGGCCCUAUCCCAAAGGAGGUUGCUGGUGCUCCUGAGGAUGACACCCAGUGUUGUCUCCUGGCCUCCACACACAGAUGCAGAAGUGAGUGUUUACUGCAUACAGGAAUGGGCACAUGCUGGAAAUGUGACAUUUGACAUAAAAUUGACCCUUAGAUGGUAUAAAAUACUUGUGUGUUCUCUAUCUAUUCAUCCAUCCAUCCAUCCAUCAAUCUAUCCCAUCCAUCUAUCAUAUCCAUUCAUCAAUCCAUCACAUCCCCCCACCCAUCCAUCACAUCCAUCCAUCACAUCUAUCCAUCCAUCCAUCCAUCACAUCCAUCACAUCCAUCCAUCCAUCACAUCCAUCACAUCCAUCCAUCCAUCCAUCACAUCCAUCACAUCCAUCCAUCCAUCUAUCCAUCACAUCCAUCCAUCCAUUAUAUCCAUCCAUCCAUCCAUCCAUCCAUCACAUCCAUCCAUCCAUCCAUUAUAUCCAUCUAUCCAUCACAUCCAUCCAUUACAUGCAUCCAUCACACAUAUCCUUCCAUCCAUCACAUCCAGACCUUCUUGGUGCUAGGUUACAUCACUGAGCAAAGUGAUCCUCAGAGAGUGGUGGAGGGACUAGAGCUAAGCUCUGUGGUAAAGCCUCAAUCCCCAGCAUACAAAUAUACAGAUAUCAUAAAAGCUAAUGGAGAAAAAAAUCAUAGCAGACAGAGGCCACCAGGACUGUGUAUAGAUAGCUAUCUUAAAUGGAAUACCCAGAAGGCUGGCACGGUCACAUGCACCUUUAAUACCAGCACUUGGGAGGCUGAGGCAGGUGGAUCUCUGUGAGUUCUAUGCCAGCCUAGUCUACCUAGCAAGUUCCAAGGCAGCCAGAGCUACAUAAUAGACCCAGUCUCAAUUAAAGUAAAACAAAACAAAAUAAAACAAAUGGAAUACCCAGAAUGGACCUUCUGAUAAGGUAACACUGAAGUAAAACUUUGAAGAGAGGAGACAUUCACCAGGCAGCUAUCUAGGGAAGGGCAUUCCUAGUAAAGGAACAGUUAGUGCAAAGCCCUGAGGCAGGAAUGUGUGAGGCUCUGCUAACAUCAAGGAAGCCAGAGACUAGAGUGCAAGAGUAGUGAGGAGUUGCAGAAUCUUAGUAUGUGUUCUGGGUGUCAAUUCAAACACACACACAUUCACACACUCACACACACAUAUACAUGAACAUGCACAUGUACAUACAUAUGUACACACAUGCAUACAUACAUAUAUCCACAUAUUAUAUAUAUGUAUGUGCAUAUUCAUAUGCAUGUACAUAUACACGUACAUAUGCAUGGCCACUUUUUCCAUUUCCAACUUGCCCUGCUCUGUGUUGCUGUCUUAGGGAGCACUGGUUUAAAUCUUUCCCUCUGGCCUUGUGCUCUUUUCCUACCCUAAGGCCUAGGAACAUUUUCCAACAUUAUCCCUAGAUGUUGGGGAGACUUAUUUUGCACAGGUUUAUUUACAAAACAGAUGUGAUUUGUGAGUGAUGUGAGGUAGAGUAAUUUCAUUGGCUCUGUGUCUUAUGGAAACUUACAGCCACAUAAUUGUCAAGUGCCUGUCUCAGAGGCUUGGUGGGACUGGGGUGGGUUAACUCUGGGAUGUGACGAUCAUUUAUAGAAAAUCCACGUUUUCCCCACUGAUCUUCGGAAACACACUUGUCUCUGCUCUUAUGUGGUUCUGAUUCUGGGCACUCUUCUUCACUGAUAGUCUGUCUCCCUGAUGUCACCCUGUGAUAUUACCUGUUUCUUUGUCUGAUAGGGAAAGAUCCUCCUGCCUCACUUAUUAUGAAUAUCUUGGCUAUUCUUAGACCUUCAUACUUUCUCUGUAUUUUUUCUGUUUUUAAAAACAUCAUCUUUGCUCUUAUUUUAUAUGUCUGAGUGUUUUGCUCGAAUGUAUGUCUGUGUACCACAUGAUGGCAGAGUCUUUGGAGGCAUCAGAUCCACUGGAACUGGAGAUACAAAUGGUCAUAACUUCACUGGGUGCUGGGAACCAAACCCAGGUCUUCCGCAAAAGCAGCCAGUGCUCUAACCACUGAGCAAUCAGCCCAGUUUCCUCUCUCAUUUCUAAACCUCUGAAGUUACAGAGAGCAUGCUGGUACCCUGAGCACUUCAGGAUUACAUGGAUCCAUGAGCCAUGCGGGGUCAUCUUAAAGCACCAAGCAUUCAUAUGUUAUAAACCUCAAGACCUUCCCCAGGAGCGUUUCUAGGUGCUUGUACUAGUCUGUUAGGAAACUGGACGGAGGGGAGGGGUUCAACAAGGGCAAAUAAGGUGAUAUUUGUAAUGUUUGAUGGAUUUGUGGGGAGAAAGGGAAACUUCUAUUUUAUUUUUUAUUUUAUGUCUGUGGGUGUCACCACAUGCAUGCAGUUUUCAUCCACAGGAACUGAAGUUACAGAUGGCCUUGAACCACCAUGUGGGUGCUGGGAACCACGCCUCGGUCCUAUGCAAGAGCAACAAGUGCCCUUAACCACAGAACCAUCUCCAGCCCCAAACUCCUCUUUCAAAUGCAAGGAGGGGUCUACACCAAAGUCACCAGGGAGUCAUGCUUCCUAUAGGAGGUCAUACAAGAUGACAAGAGCCCUCUUUACCCCACUGUCAGUGUAGAAGCCUGUAACAGUAGGAACAGCAGAGCCAGCCUGUGCCAAGUGUGGUCCUUACCAAGCUGGAAGUUAGUGGGGCCUGGCUGGAGGCUGGCUGGUCUGUUGGAACGCAGGGAGCUGGUGUCAGCCUCCGCUUAGCUAUUUCUUGAGUGUUAGGGACAGGGCAAGAUACAAGACUUUUUAAAGCCUUACUUUCCUCCCACUGUACAAUGAAGACAAGAAGUGACCUACCAACUGACACAGUCAGCCACUGUGGGCUGGGUCUCCCUCCUUCUUUUCCUGCAGGGUGUCACCAAGGGGAAGUCUGAAAUCUGAGCAAAGAAAAUGUCUCUAGAAGGAAAUGGGUUGCUCAGAUCCUUUGACUUCUGGGUCAAAGCAAGGGGCUUGCUUCCUCCUCCCAUCCCUGCAGACUCCCAGGUUCCUAAGUGCUGCUAGGCUGUGUGUCUGCCCUGGACCACAGUGAGUACAGAGUCACCAAGGAGCAGGGCCUAGAAACCUCACUCCAGCUUUCUCCCAGGUCAAGAACUGGAGCCCACCUCCAGGGUACCUGGUCAUGGAUCCAGUCACCCUGACCUAGGGAUCCAGUGUGAAGCGGAGCCGGCAGGGGCUUCAGGGGCAAUGUGUGUUUUCAGGCAAGUUUGAGUACUACCACUGAGUGCCUAAGGAGUCAGUUCUCCCAGAACCUUCUGGAUUCAAACCUGAGUGACCUUAGGUAGGUGAUGUCUUUAACUUGUCUGGCUGUCGCUUUCCUCCUGGGAAGAUGAUAACAGAGAUGUAGGGUCAGCAGUUAGUGCUAUCACCCCACCCUACUCCCAGCCUGUACCAGAGGCUAUAAGGCAAGGAGCCAUCCUCACAGCUAUCUAAAUGGCGCUGGAUCUAGCUUACCAUCUUGUGUUACUACCUUCACGGCUCACAAUGUUCUGGGGGCAGACUCUCCUCUGAAAAGCAGCAAAUGGAACCAGAAGGUCACACUGGCAAUCCAGCAAUCCAAGAGCUGAAGCAGCUAGCAUGCUUUCCCAUUGAGGAAUGACUUAAAAGGUUUGGGGAUGGGGGAAUAAGGAAAUCUUCCACCAACUGGGAGCUAAUUUCAUCACUGUGUUACUUAACUGACUAAAAGACCUCUUUGGUGUCUGCUCUUUGCAGCACAUGGAAAGAUGCCAGACUCUGGGGCCUUGGAGCUGGGUUGCUGGAAUUUGGGGACAAGCUCUGCCUGUGUGUCCUUGGGUAAACUCCUGCUCCUUUGGGGAUGGGGACAAGAUGACUUUUUCACCUGUUUUCCCAGCUCUUUCAGAGGGCUCAAAGUCCCAAAGCAGUCAGUUCACUGUUUACCUCUGUCUAAAAGACUGGGGUACCAUUCACUGCUGCUCUCCAGCCAAGACCUGCUGGGGGUAGGGAGAGUUGGGAGGAAAGUCUCAAAGACCUGAGGGGCCACAUGUGGGUGCUUCUCAGGUCUGGGUCCUAAGAUCCCCGCUGUUUGGCUAAAUUCUGGUAUUUAGAUACACAACCUGGUGUUGGCUUCUGGGACAAUUUAAGCAAAAUGAGAAGGCAUGGUCAGCAGGGCAAGGCCCAGGACCUGAGUUGUGUCCCAGGAACCCAGGGUUCCAUAGUGUAUGGUGACAUUUGCAUGGCCACCCUCAAACACGUGUGUGUGUGUGUGUGUGUGUGUGUGUGUGUGUGUGUGUGCGCGCGCGCGCGCCCCUUUCCCCCCUCACUCCAUCCCCCUUUUAACUCCCCACCCCAUACACACACACACACACACACACACACACACACACACACACACACGUUUCCUGGUGUACACACACAAAGCAACAAUAAUGAUGUUACUAAAGAAGGCGGGACUAUUCUAAUUAAGACAGGAAGUGUUCCAAUCUGGCAAACCUUGGGCUGGGUGCAGCAGGGCCUGGCUGGGGAGCGGUGACCUGGCUUCACCUACUGGACCCAGAUUCCAGGAGCUCACCUCUUCCACUACCACUAUUUUUCUCAGAAUAGUUUUAAACUGUGCAAGAUCUGUUAGAGAGGUUUUUUUUUUUUUUUAAAUAAACAUAAAACUAACUCCCUUGUGCUCUCAGAGCGCCCAGACCUGCACCUCCCCACAGCUGAGCUCCGCCUCUUCACCUCUGGACGGGCCCCUCCUUCUUUUGCCUUUGUCAUUGUUAGACCUUCUUGUCCUACACAAAUCCUUUAUGUUACAACUGAAAAACAAAACUAACGGGGACUUGAGUGGGGGAGGGGAGACCGGAGGCGGGCGGGUGCUCAGGGUGUUAGUUUAGGGCUCUCCUGACCCUAGACUACUUUGACUCUGGGACUGAAAACUCCUCCAGGGCUCAGAAAACCGACUUUUGCUGGCCAAUGAGAGCCAGCUUGGGAUUCACCUGGUUUAGGAGCCUCAAGAGUCAUCCAGCUCUUUCUUCAGUAGGUAACAAUUCCUCAGACCAGAGCUGAGUGCGGUUGAGAAACUGCAUUGAGUGCAGAUGCAAAUGGAUUAAGUUCCAGAAAUUCUAGAAAGAAUUCUGCUUUAGUUUUAGAUGACUCUUUUUAUCGGUACCAGGCAGCCACAGCCACAGGCGGCUUGAGUUUCCUGAGUAGAAAGAAAUAGGCCUGAUCCCAAGUAGCUGGUGGCGCAGGCCUUUAAACCCACCAGAGGAGACCAGAAAGAAAUCCCAGCGGUGGAUUUCUGAGUUCCAGAACAGCCAGGGCUACACAGAGAAGCCCAUCUCCAAAAGCAAGCAAGCAAGCAAGCAAGCAAACAAAAAGUGUCUUUUUUUUUUGGAUCCCUGAAAGAGAGGAGUUGCAAAGGAGACAUCACAAAAAAAAACCCUUCAAGGCUCUGGAUAUUAAUACACACACACACACACACACACACACACCCAGCCCCCCUCGCCCCCGCACUGAGGGGAGGGAGGAGAGCAGGGGUGAUUUAUAAUAUUAAGUGAGAAAAAAACCCUUAUUCUGUUGUUAUUGGACACAAAUAUACGAUGAAAGAGACAGAGGCAGCCCUGAGCCUCUGCAGGACCCAGAGAGACAAAACCUAACGUUGAGAAUGUGGUGGUUUCCAGAGGAUUUUCCAGACUCUGAAUUAGACCGUCUUGGGCACCUGGGCUGAUUGGUAGAGGAGUGCUACCCUACCUGAGCUGUUAGGAGGUGGGACACUGCCUUGCACGCUGUAGCAGCAGCAGCAGCAGCAGCAGCAGCAGCAGCGGCAGCGGCAGCGGCAGCGGCAGUGGUAGUGGCAGCGGCAGCGGCAACGACAGCAGCCAGCGAACCUGACAGAGCACACUGGCCUUUUGACAUUGUGACAGGAUGUUGUCAUCUACAAAGUGCACGAACGUGAUAACCUCUGUUAUGAGUUGCAAAAUGAACAGACAGACAAUCAUACAUUAAGGACAUUUACAGCUACCCAGGGAUGUAAGCAGGGGCGGCGACAGGCAGGAUGCAUUAGUUUAGUCCCAGGAAAUAGAUGGCUAGCAGCUGAGCUGAAUACAUCCCCUAGUUGUGGUCAGUGCUACCUGCCUCAGGUGCAUGAGAGUUGGGGUGAGGCACACUUUUCUCUUUCUUCACACGGCCCAGCCCAAAACCCUGGCAUGGGCAACUAUUUGCAUGCAACUGCAUCUUUACCUUCUGCAUUUCCCCAAGGACCCUAAAUGGCAGCACCUACGGCCUUCUCCUCCACUGUGGGGGUUAGGAGGUGACACUAGCAAGCUGGUUUCCACUGCUGCAAAGUGCUGACCCAGCCUCACUAAGCCGGGCUUCAGGGGCUCACUGCAGAGCUCAGGACCUAAACUCCACAGCAAUGUCGUGACUGCUUAUAGGGUUGCUGCUGGCCCUACCGACUUUGUGACCUAGCCACUGCUCCAGAGCAGCGAAGAAGACAAAGCCAGUAUCCACAAGCGGAGGUUAGUUAUCCAGCCCUGAGUACUGGGGUUAGAGACGCUGAAGUAGAAAAACUUGGGACACCCAGUAAGAAAUCCCCACAACUACAAGCCCCCAUUUUAUCAAACCUGUUCUCUCAUCUGUAAAACCUGCAGAGCGAUUAUGUUGGUCAAUCGAAGCUGUGUUAACUACAGUCAAAUUACUGCCAUACCGAGAGAUGCCAGUCAGGUUGGAGAAUCGCCCCAUAACUCACACAUGGACUCUCACAGUCCCCCCCACCCCACCCCACCCUACCCUGAGAUAAAUGUGAGCACCAUCUCCCAUCCGGUUUAGGUUUGGCCUCUGUGCUUAGCUGAAAACAGGCAAAGGACUCCAGGGGCUUCCAAUGAGGGGCAGAGUCUCAGGGAAGCUGGACAAGGGCCCUUGGCUCUUCCGUCGGUAAAAGAGCUGUGGCGUUAAGCAGACGACUUAGGGUGCUGCUCUCCCCUCAACGCCCAGCAACAGUGAAUCAAGUUGGCCUGAGGAUGGGCGCUCUAGGAUCAGCUUUUACUCCUUCUCUGGUGCGAGAAGACGCUGAACUUCCUUCUACACCCAUUAGCUCACAAGCAAGUCAUAAAACCCCUCACGCCCUCCGCGGGUAACCUUGGAAAAAAAAAAAAGG